AUCCAGUUGACGAUUUCCAAAUAGGACGAAACGCGUGUCCUGGAU
rnacentral:hammerhead_ribozyme from 1 species